CCAGGGGCUCCUAUCACUGCAGGCCACUGGUUCCGUUGAAGUCCAUUUUCACAUGUGCAGAGCUGAUCACGCUGCACUUGACCUUCCUUAUCAACAGAAGAGAUUCUUGUGUCCUACAGACCAAAGAAAGAAUCAGCAGGAAUGCCCAGGGUGAAUGAUGGAUUGCAGAGCCUGGCUGGCACAUUUUGUGCCCUCCCCGCCUCCAAAUUGCCUCAGUUACAAAUCGGAAGGCAGGCUUGGUGACCAGGACUGGCAAGCACAUUUUAAAGUCCCAUGCUGUGGAGUUGAUCCGUCUCAACUUGAGUCAGAAGAGGCAGAAGUGGAUGUGAGAGAAAGAGACACACAGAGAGACAGAGAGCCAAAGAGGGCAAGAGACUUGACUUUAAGAGACUCCUGUACUGACAACUCCAUGCAGUUCGGAACCAGAACGACUGAGGCUGGACCAGGGUUCAUGGGGACAUGGCAAAAUGCUGAUACUAACCUCUUAUUCAGAAUGUCCCAACAGAACUCAACAAAAAUCCAGUGGGAGGCUUUUCAGCAGGUUUAAUAGACGACAAUGAUCUCUAUCGUUGGGAAGCCCUUAUUAUUGGUCCUCCAGAUACACUUUAGUGCCCCUGGAGGCCUGAAGAAGGCACUGGAUCCCUGAAAUUGGAGGACCAGGCAGCUGUGAGCUGCCACAUGCAGAUGCUGAGAACUGAGCCUUUGCAAGAGUAUGAAGGUGGUGUUUUUAAGGCUUAUCUCAUUUUCCCAAAAGAUUAUCCCCUCCGGCCUCCUAAAAUGAAAUUCAUUACAGAUAUUUGGCCCCCAAAUGGUAAGUUUUCUAAUUUUAUUUUCACAUUUGCAAGUUUAAUGAUCUGUCACUAAAGAUUUCACAACUAU